rnacentral:hammerhead_ribozyme from 1 species
GUACUGAUGGAGAGUCCAAAUACUGGGACGAAACAGCUGUCCAGUAC